GAUGAACGCUGGCGGCGUGCCUAAUACAUGCAAGUCGAGCGAACAGACGAGGAGCUUGCUCCUCUGACGUUAGCGGCGGACGGGUGAGUAACACGUGGAUAACCUACCUAUAAGACUGGGAUAACUUCGGGAAACCGGAGCUAAUACCGGAUAAUAUAUUGAACCGCAUGGUUCAAUAGUGAAAGACGGUUUUGCUGUCACUUAUAGAUGGAUCCGCGCCGCAUUAGCUAGUUGGUAAGGUAACGGCUUACCAAGGCGACGAUGCGUAGCCGACCUGAGAUGGUGAUCGGCCACACUGGAACUGAGACACGGUCCAGACUCCUAAGGGAGGCAGCAGUAGGGAAUCUUCCGCAAUGGGCGAAAGCCUGACGGAGCAACGCCGCGUGAGUGAUGAAGGUCUUCGGAUCGUAAAACUCUGUUAUUAGGGAAGAACAAAUGUGUAAGUAACUAUGCACGUCUUGACGGUACCUAAUCAGAAAGCCACGGCUAACUACGUG
rnacentral:rRNA from 1 species